rnacentral:rRNA from 1 species
CCUACGGGAGGCUGCAGUGGGGAAUAUUGGACAAUGGGCGAAAGCCUGAUCCAGCCAUGCCGCGUGUGUGAAGAAGGCCUUCGGGUUGUAAAGCACUUUCAGUGGGGAAGAAAGCCUUGGGGCUAAUACCCUCGAGGAAGGACAUCACCCACAGAAGAAGCACCGGCUAACUCCGUGCCAGCAGCCGCGGUAAUACGGAGGGUGCGAGCGUUAAUCGGAAUUACUGGGCGUAAAGCGCGCGUAGGCGGUCUGAUAAGCCGGUUGUGAAAGCCCCGGGCUCAACCUGGGAACGGCAUCCGGAACUGUCAGGCUAGAGUGCAGGAGAGGAAGGUAGAAUUCCCGGUGUAGCGGUGAAAUGCGUAGAGAUCGGGAGGAAUACCAGUGGCGAAGGCGGCCUUCUGGACUGACACUGACGCUGGGGUGCGAAAGCGUGGGUAGCAAACAGGAUUAGAUACCCGAGUAGUC